GAGAAAGUUAUUAAGAGUGCAUGAUGGAUGCCUUGGUGCCAGAAGGCUAUGAAGGACGUGAUAAGCUGCGAUAAGCUACGGUGAGCGGCAAAUACGCUUCGACCCGUAGAUUUCCGAAUGGGGUAACCCUUCCCAAGUCAUGUUGGGAAACUGCCACUUGAAUCUAUAGAGUGGUUUGAGCAAUACCCGGUGAAGUGAAACAUCUCAGUAACCGGAGGAAGAGAAAGCGAAUGCGAUUCCGUAAGUAGUGGCGAGCGAAAGCGGAACAGUCCAAACCGGAUAGCUAUGCUCUCCGGGGUAGUAGGAUCCCAAAAAGAGUAGUUUGGACGUUAGGUAAAGCGCGUGGAAAAGCGCCCCGUAGAGGGUGAGAGGCCCGUGACCGAAAACUGAAGGACAUUCUGGGAAUUCCUGAGUAAUGCGAUGCACGUGAAACUUCGCAUGAAGCCACGCCGACCACGGCGUAAGACUAAAUACUAGCUGGCGACCGAUAGUGAACUAGUACCGUGAGGGAAAGGUGAAAAAGUACCGCUGUGAGCGGAGUGAAAGAGUACCUGAAAUCGUGCACUUACAAGGUGUCAAAGUCUCGCAAGAGAUGAUGGCGUGCCUUUUGCUUAAUGAGUCUGCGAGUUAGUAUCUGUGGCAAGUUUAAGCCCCUCUGGGGUGUAGGCGAAGCGAAAGCGAGUCUGAAAUGGGCGAUUUGAGCCGCAGGUGCUAGACCCGAAGCGGAGGUGAUCUACCCAUGGCCAGGAUGAAGCCUCGGUAAUACGAGGUGGAAGACCGAACUCGUGGACGUUGAAAAGUCCUGGGAUGAGCUGUGGGUAGGAGCGAAAGACUAAUCAAACCCCGUGAUAGCUGGUUCUCCCCGAAAUCUAUUGAGGUAGAGCCUCGUGUGCUGACCCGCAGAGGUAGAGCACUGGAUGAACUAGGGCCCAUACCAGGGUACCGAAUUCAAUCAAACUCCGAAUGCUGCGGGGUGGAACACGGGAGGCAGUCCAUGAGGGAUAAGCUUCAUGGUCGAGAGGGAAACAACCCAGAUCAGCAGCUAAGGUGCCUAAAUCGUGCUUAGUGGAAAGGAAGUGAGGUUGCUUAGACACUGAGGAUGUUGGCUUAGAGGCAGCCAUCAUUUAAACAGUGCGUAAUAGCUGACUCAGCGAGUGAUCUUGCGCCGAAAAUGAUUGGCGAUAAGCGCGAUACCGAAGCUCUGGAUUUCUCAGGGAGGUCUCUCUGAGGAGUGGUAGGGGAGCGUUGUCAGUACGGAGAAGCUUUCAGGUAACUGGGGGUGGAGUGCUGACAAGUGAGAAUGCAGACAUGAGUAGCGAUAAGCCGGGUGGAAUUCCCGGCCGCCGUAAACCCAAGGUUUCCUGGGCAAGGUUCGUCCUCCCAGGGUGAGUCGGAACCUAAGUCGAGGCCGGAGGGCGUAGACGAUGGAGAGCAGGUUAAUAUUCCUGCACCAGUUUGGUCAAAGCGCAGUGGGGACGUAUGAUGAGAGUGUGGCCGCCGAUUGAAAGUGGCGGUCCCCCUUAAAGGGGGGGACGUGGAGGCUUCGGCCUAAGCGGAUUGCAUUAACAAAAUACCAAGAAAAGCUGCUGUGCGUUCCCUAGCUGUCCGUACCGCAAACCGACACAGGUGGGUGGGUAGAAGUGUGCCAAGGCGCGUGAGUGAAACCUCGUUAAGGAACUCGGCAAUCUAGCCCCGUAACUUCGGAAGAAGGGGUGCCCCCCUAGGGGGGUCGCAGUGAAUGGGGUCAACCGACUGUUUAACUAAAACACAGCACUCUGCUAAAUCGUAAGAUGAUGUAUAGGGUGUGACACGUGACCAAUGCCGAAAGAUUACGGUAAGAGGUUAGCCCCCAAAGGGCGAAGCUUCGAUCCUAAGUCCCGGUGAAUGUCGGCCGUAACUAUAACGGUCCUAAGGUAGCGAAAUUCCUUGUCGCAGUUUGACUGGGGCGGUCUCCUCCCAAAGAGUAACGGAGGAGCACGAAGGUUAGCUCAGCUUGGUUGUCAAUCAAGCGACGAGUAUAUGGAUAUAAGCCAGCUUAACUGUGAGACCUACAAGUCGAGCAGAUGCGAAAGCAGGUCCAAGUGAUCCGGUGGUCGAAUGUGGAAUUGCCAUCGCUCAACGGACAAAAGGUACGCUAGGGAUAACAGGCUGAUCCUGCCCRAGAGYUCAYAUCGACGGCRSGGUUUGGCACCUCGAUGUCGGCUCAUCACAUCCUGGGGCUGGAGAAGGUCCCAAGGGUCCGGCUGUUCGCCGGUUAAAGUGGUACGCGAGCUGGGUUCAGAACGUCGUGAGACAGUUCGGUCCUUAUCCACUGUGGGCGCAGGAGAAUUGAGGGAUUCAGUCCCUAGUACGAGAGGACCGGGAUUGACAAACCUCUGGUGAGCCAGUUGUUCCGUCAGGGGCACCGCUGGGUAGCUAAGUUUGGAAAGGAUAAGCGCUGAAAGCAUCUAAGCGCCAAGCCCUUCCCAAGAUGAGUUCUCCCUUAAGAGUCGUGGAAGACUACCACGUUGAUAGGUUGCAGGUGUAAGCGUAGCAAUAUGUUCAGCUCAGCAAUACUAAUAACUCGUUUGACUUUCCUAG
rnacentral:rRNA from 1 species